CCAGAUCUCCAGGUCUCCUACCGCUCUCGACAACUAUAUUCCAUAUCCCAUCCACAUCGGAGGUAAGCCCCCUCCCCCUCGCCGCCUCUGGUGGACUUGUUUUGACCAGUCGGUCAACGGUGUGGCCAUUUGCCUCACCUCCACAGCCAAAAACCUGAACCAUCGAUGGCCGCACAUAAAUUACUGGCAACAAGACCCCCGAGAUCCCCUUUUCCCCUGAGACCCUGCUAUUCCCGUUCCGAUUCCGACCUGUCCAUCUUGGUUGCUUUUACCUGUCGGCCCACAUAGAUACAAAUUUGUGAGCUGGUGUGUGUGAGGCGACCCCGCUGUGCUGGUGUGAGUGAACUGUGCAUCUUUCAGGUUUUGCCGUCGCUGUUUGCAUAUUUUGCGCAUACUUCGGUUCACAAGGCAACAUUAUUUCAGAGAUUCCAAUUAGCAGCCCAAAACAAUAAAAUUACCCAAUCAAUUUAGAGGAUUUAAGAAUCUAUCUUCGAAAUACAAGCUAUUUACUUUUACAACGACAUGACUAGCACUAAGCCUGCACUUGGGCAGACAUCAAUACACAUAGUACAACCAUCAAUCCUGCAGAAGACAUGACUUGCUACUGCAAGUGUCCAUAUCGAAAUGCAAAUCGGAAGCCGAACAACUGUGGCCCAUUAAACCUCAGACCACUGCGGGCCAAAUUGGCGUUGGCGGCCCAAUUGAAGUGCAUUGGAAAUUUUAAACCAAUUAAAACAGCUGCUGUCAACGCUGCGGAUGCGUAAUGAAAAGAAAAUAUUAAUAAAUCAUACGUGACCAAUCAAUUUCAUGCCGUUCUGGCGGCUUGCAAAAAAUUCAAGACUGCAAUGGGGAAUUGGAAAACGGGUGAGGAAAAUGGGUGGAAAUGGGAAAAUCGAGAGAGCCGGUCGCACGCACAGAAUCAAUAUUUAAU